rnacentral:rRNA from 1 species
AUUGAACGCUGGCGGCAGGCUUAACACAUGCAAGUCGAGCGGUAGCACAGGGGAGCUUGCUCCCUGGGUGACGAGCGGCGGACGGGUGAGUAAUGUCUGGGAAACUGCCUGAUGGAGGGGGAUAACUACUGGAAAUGGUAGCUAAUACCGCAUAACGUCGCAAGACCAAAGAGGGGGACCUUCGGGCCUCUUGCCAUCAGAUGUGCCCAGAUGGGAUUAGCUAGUAGGUGGGGUAAUGGCUCACCUAGGCGACGAUCCCUAGCUGGUCUGAGAGGAUGACCAGCCACACUGGAACUGAGACACGGUCCAGACUCCUACGGGAGGCAGCAGUGGGGAAUAUUGCACAAUGGGCGCAAGCCUGAUGCAGCCAUGCCGCGUGUGUGAAGAAGGCCUUCGGGUUGUAAAGCACUUUCAGCGAGGAGGAAGGUGGUGAGCUUAAUACGUUCAUCAAUUGACGUUACUCGCAGAAGAAGCACCGGCUAACUCCGUG